GUUGAUGUUUCGAUGCGUCUUUUGCGGCGAAGACUACGUGAGCAAGGAAGAACUGGUGAAUCAUCUGGACCUGCAUAAGUUUAAACAAGAAAUCGUAGACUAGCGUUCGAGUGAGCAGCUAGUUGCUAACAUGAAUGAUGACGGUACGGAUAGGCAUACGAUCGACGAGGAAUCCAGACUGCUUUCUGAUGAUACUGGGAAUGAUAGUACACACCUCACCUCAAAACAGCAAUAUUGGUGCGACAUAUGUGAAACUACUUUUCCUAAUUAUGCCCAAGCCAAAUAUCAUAGGUUGACGAGGCACACAGAAGGGAAGCACAAAUGUCCACAUUGUUUCAAAAAAUGGCACCGGAAAGAAGACUUUAAAAUACAUAUGACA